GACGAACGCUGGCGGCGUGCUUAACACAUGCAAGUCGAGCGGUAAGGCCCUUUCGGGGGUACACGAGCGGCGAACGGGUGAGUAACACGUGGGUGACCUGCCCUCAGCUCUGGGAUAAGCCUGGGAAACUGGGUCUAAUACCGGAUAUGACCUUUCCUCGCAUGGGGUUUGGUGGAAAGUCCUGGGCUUGAUUGUCUGGGUUCGGCUGGGGAUGGGCCCGCGGCCUAUCAGCUUGUUGGUGGGGUGAUGGCCUACCAAGGCGACGACGGGUAGCCGGCCUGAGAGGGCGACCGGCCACACUGGGACUGAGACACGGCCCAGACUCCUACGGGAGGCAGCAGUGGGGAAUAUUGCGCAAUGGGCGGAAGCCUGACGCAGCGACGCCGCGU
rnacentral:rRNA from 1 species